AAUAUAUUAGUUUAAUAAAACAAUAGUUUGUGGAACUAUAAUUCUUAAAAUAAAAAUAAAAAGAACAUUUUC
rnacentral:tRNA from 1 species